rnacentral:rRNA from 1 species
CCUGGCGGCCGUAGCGCGGUGGUCCCACCUGACCCCAUGCCGAACUCAGAAGUGAAACGCCGUAGCGCCGAUGGUAGUGUGGGGUCUCCCCAUGCGCUGUCACUUAACUGCCACUC